UAGUCGGAGGUGUGUCUCGGACGGUUGGUUCGCCGCUUGCCGGUGCUCAACUGGCCGGUCCGGACGUCCUGCCGGUGGGGCUGUAAAAGGCUCCGUUAUCCUUCUUUGGUCCUCUUCAUUGAGUGCCUUGGUGGGCCGGCACGUUUACUUUGAACAAAUUAGAGUGCUCAAAGCAGGCCGUUGGUCGCCUGAAUACUGUGUGCAUGGAAUAAUAGAAUAGGACCUCGGUUCCAUUUUGUUGGUUUUCAGAACUCGAGGUAAUGAUUAAUAGGGACGGACGGGGGCAUUCGUAUUGCGACGUUAGAGGUGAAAUUCUUGGAUCGUCGCAAGACGAACCGAUGCGAAAGCAUUUGCCAAGAACGUUUUCGUUGAUCAAGAACGAAAGUUAGAGGUUCGAAGGCGAUCAGAUACCGCCCUAGUUCUAACCAUAAACGAUGCCAGCUAGCCAUCCGCCGAAGUUCCUUAUAUGACUCGGCGGGCAGCUUCCGGGAAACCAAAGCUCUUGGGUUCCGGGGG
rnacentral:rRNA from 1 species